AAAAACUAACGAGUAAACGUAAAGGUGCCUUAACAUUGCCACAAAAUGAACGGCUUACCUUUCACCGUUUCCCAUCAAAUGAUCGUGAGCGACUGAAUCUAUGGAUGCUGGCUGUUCAUCUGGAUGUUAAUUUACCGAUUAAUUUCGUCAAGCACAUGAAGUUGUGCAGUGAACAUUUUUCUCCAGACGACUUCAAAUCAGUUCAACAAAAAAGAUUACUGAAAUCAACAGCUGUGCCCAACUUGUUUAUACAGACCAACAAGGUAAGUGGAAGCAGUAUGUGGUAAUUGUUAAAGUCAUGAAACACUCAUUUAGUUUUGUCUUUAUUUGUAUUUGGUUAUAUGUAUAUAUAUAAAAAAAACAGAAUACACGAUACAGUGAAUUAAAGCCGAAUUACAACAUUGACUUGAAAUGUUUUAGGAAUCAAAGGAUCCAUCACAACUCAGUCAGGAUAUCCAGUCAGCAGGUCCACUCCUUACAGACUUCUGUUGGUGUUAUCAAGUCCUGAAAAAUCUAUACAGUGUUCAAAGCCAUCUACAUCAGGGACGUACUACGCCUUACCAGCCAUAAAGUCCUAUCAGUCAAAUGAACAAACAUAUGCUGAAAGUGAGAACAUCAAUGAAGACCUUAGUCUUGAUGUCAGCAUGCUUUCACUGGAUCCUACAACUGAAAAGGACCUAAGUUUUGUUCCUCUAAGUUCGACCUCAACAUCAACUCCAACUACAGAAGAAGAAGAAGCAAAUUGUAGAUUCAGAGAUAAAAAAUGGAUCGUCAAUGAGUCCAGUUUGAUGGAGCUGUUUACCAGAUGUCAUCAUUGUGGAGCAUCAGUCACUGAAACUAAAAAAACAACUUGUGGAAGCCUCAUACGUGUUGCUUGGGAAUGUUCAAAUGGUCAUCAAGGAAAAUGGAACUCGUGUGAUGAAAUUAGAGGCAUGCCAGCUAACAACCUUCUUGUGGCAGCG